AUCACACUGAAAGAAAAGUCAAAUGAGGAGAAGGACCAACCCCCUACAGUGCAUUGCAUCCCCAUCUGCUGACUGAAGUUUUGUCAGGCAUUUGCGUGGUUGCAGGGUGGACACUGUACCCACAGGCUGCACAGGACCUUGCCCAAGUCCUUCUCAGCAGCUCUGUCUUCAUCUGUGUGUGCUCCAUAUCAACACACGUGAAGGAGAGACCCCGAGGGGCAGCUCGUGUACUGACUGAACAUCUACUGCUGUGCCCGGGCUGCUCAUGAUGUAACUGAGAGAACAGCAGUGACACUCCAACAUCCCCUGUGUGCUGGUGCCCACGACCCGCAGUCAGCAUUGCAGGGUCCUGGGGAGGGCUCCGGGUGAGAACCCCUGGUGCCUUCCCCACAGAUGCCAAAGGACAGGACAGUGAUUUCCCUGCUGGGGGAGUAAGGGAGAAAAACAGCUGCCUGGCCGAGGAUGCAGAACAGCAAUAAAGCUCCAUUUCCUGUCCCCAUGCUCCGGCUACUUCUGGAACCAGUGGAGUGACUUCAUGCAAGGAACCCACCAGAAUUUGAUGUUGGACACUGCCGAGCUCAGCCUGCUCCGUGAAGUACAUAGUGCUGCUUGGGAUGCAGCCCUGCUGCAAUGGCACCACGAGUUUGGGUACCUGCCUGUGCUUCCCCACCAGAAAGGACAUCAGAAACCAGGUAAGAGUGAAAUG